GCCAGAGUAGUGUAGUGGUUUGAACGCUGGACUAUGACUCUGGAGACCAGGGUUUGAAUCCCAGUUUGGCC